GGUUGGAACUGGAUGAGCGCUGUGGUCCUUUUCAACCCAGGCCAUUCUGUGAUUCUAUGAUUUCUAUUGGGAUUGCAUUUGGUGUUUGGGCAGCAGCAACAGCUGGACACUUUCUACUGCUAAAAAUACCAAUUCCAGAUGCCAGGGAUUUCAAGUACACUUUUAACUAUGCAUCUUUAUGGAUGUGUGUGUUUGUGUUCUUGAUGCUCUUCCUUUGGCUGCAUGUGUCAGGGAUUAUGUCUGGCCUCAGCUCUGCUUAUCCAUCCCUCAGUGUGGUGGGGAAGCAUUUAUUCCUUGCCGUAUUUUGAGGGGUGUUGGGGAAGACAGUAGGGACGAGGAGGGAGAGGAGACCCUCAUGCCCAUCUAAAUUAAAUUAGCCCCCUGGAUGUAUAUUAAAAUGUUAAGUAGCACUAAGCUCUGUAUCCCAGCUCAGCAAUAUUUCAAGGCACUUUAUUGCAUUAAUGGAGUGAUAAAAUAGAACCUGCAAUUACAGUAAUUUUUUCUAAUUGAAUAUUUUGCUUUAUUCUUUCCCUUUCAAAGCAUGACUGUAAGUACUAGCCUUCAGGAAGCUUUGGCAAUAUUUAUACCUUCCCUUUCUGGUGAGGGGUGUAAAUACACCUCUUGGGCCUCCCAUUUCUGUCCCUCAUGGCUAGAGAGCUGAAUGCCUUAGAGAGAGGUGGGCUGAAGACAUCAACCUUGUACCAUCUUGCUGUUACUUCUAGGAAGCGCUGGUUUGCUGGUUGGUGGAGAGAGCAGUGUGAUGUUAUGGCUUACAUGCUUUCAAUCACUGUCCUGGACUCGAGCUUAAGCAGCAGUAAGGCUGAGUUGGGCUUUAUUUGACAUCAGCUGAUUUCAUCACAGAACGUGCUGUAGAUCAUCGCCCUGAAAGACUUCAACAAAAUGGUCUGAAAGGUUUUUAUGGGUUGUGAGAUGUUCCAGUGCUUGGAUCAAUGCUUUUUCUUUCCUGUCGGGAAGGAGCGUGUUGGGUUUUUUGUUUCUUUGCUUGUGUUAUGUCAAUUUAAUUGUAAGCCAACGUGGCAGCCCCAGGGGAAGUGGACUUAUAUACACAAACAGGUACAACUCUGCGUGUGCACGGAGCAAAUGGAACCAUCCCAGGGCAGAGGAGGUCCCCAAGGAGCUGCCAAGCUGUUCAGCCAUCACUGAUAUCAGAACGGUGAUACCCACGUGGUCCAAAUGCCUCUUCUUUCUGCACAGGCAAAAAAAGGAAUGCAGGAGAUAGGCUUCAUGUGCAGAGCUGCGUCAGCUUAAGCUCACACUAGCAUGAGGCUUAGCAAGGUUUGUGCUCUGGUGUGAGUGAAACAGAGGGAAAUCUGUCUCCUGUUAUCAGAGGGCAGCCUGAGCUGGGGAAGGUCAGCCAGCCCACAGCAGGGGUUGGGACCGGAUGAUCUUUGAGAUCCCUUCCAACCCAAACCGUUCUGUUAUUGGAUGGUUUUAAAUUAUACAUGUGCACUUCAUGUCUGUAUAAAACCAUCCUGGGACUUGUGGAUUGAGAUGUGAUGUGAUUUGGAUGAUGACAUCCUGACAGUGACCAAGUGGGCGUACCUGCAUCAUGAUGUUUUUGCUUUGACCUGCUGUCCCCAGCCACAGAUUGCUGUCAUAAAGGCCCAUUAAAAAUCACUUUGCUCUCUGGGAUGCUUAACUUGCUGUGUUUUCAGUUAGCCAUGCUGAACCUUGAAAAAGAGAGCAUUUUAGCUUCCAGCAGGAUACCUGGAGUUCAGAAAUCUCCGCAGAAGAUUAAGCAAGUUAGAGAGAGAAAUUAGCCCUGAUCCCUUUCUGCCAGCAUAGGAUUAUCCUGCAGCACACCGGUUUUGAAGUUUAUGUCUAAUCCAGUUUUACACGUCCCAGGGGACUGUGCUCCUUAUGGCUUCUGCAGAGCAGUUGUGUGGUGGAGCCUCUGCUAUAGAGGUACUUACUUGGUGCCGAGAUUCAAUUUGCAUUCCCAUUACUGCAUCCCAUUUCAUCCUGUGCCAUAUACUUAAUGUCUCUGCUUUGUAGGGUAUGGCUUUUGAAGACAUAUGGAUCGUUAUUGUGCUUGUGCUGCUUUAUAUGCUUACUGCACACAUAGCUGGGCUAUCUGAACCCCAUUCUUUCACAUACCUUGUGCUUAGGGCUGUUGAACAUAUUUGUGUAUGAAAGGGCUCGUGGCAGUCAGUGUGGAUCGUAGUGCAUCGACACAAGUGGUGUGAAACAAGGUGAGACGAGCCAAGUGUGCUGCAGUAUUGCUAGUCAAGGCAAAAAGGAGCAAAUGCUGCUGCUUUCCAGCAUGAUGCAAGGCUUAAAUGGUCAGUUUGGGAGUUUUUCAUGCAGUGUGGUGUGAGUUUGUAAAACCAUUAUUGUUCUUUUCUAAUAAAUGUGUAUUUCCAGGCUGAAAAACAACUUGUCUGUGAUCUUUGAAGUGCCUUCCUGCAAGCACUGUUCCUUGCACACACGGGGCAGUAGCAG